UACGUAGGGGGCAAGCGUUGUCCGGAAUCAUUGGGCGUAAAGCGCGUGUAGGCGGCCCGGUAAGUCCGCUGUGAAAGUCCAGGGCUCAACCCUGGGAUGCCGGUGGAUACUGUCGGGCUCGAGUCCGGAAGAGGAGUGUGGAAUUCCUGGUGUAGCGGUGAAAUGCGUAGAUAUUGGGAAGAACACCGGUGGCGAAGGCGGCGACCUGGUCCGAUACUGACGCUGAGACGCGAAAGCGUGGGGAGCAAACAGG
rnacentral:rRNA from 1 species